CGUUUGGCAUUGCUGGUGAUGUCUCACCAUUUGGCGUUUGGUUAGCGCUUUGAAGUCUUGUCUGUGUAGCACUUCAUACAAUAGUGGAAAUUGUGUGGAGUUUUGUUCUAGUCCUUGAAGAGUCACUUCUCUGGGAGCGUAACCAACUUAAAGCUUGACCGGUGCCCAUUUCGUCUGCUCACUUGGGAAGCAGUCUGCUGUGGUUUGGAGCCCCUUUCCCCUGCUGCGACACUAUAUGUGUGCCUCGCCAGCCGUGGUGUAGCCGGCUGGCAUUGCGUGAGGUUGUCUUAAUGAGCUGCUGUUUUGUAUACCCCUGAUGUGUGUCGGAUGCAUGCGAGAGUGUUUAGAUAGUGUGUGUAUGGCUGGUGACUGAGGUGAAGCUUGAUUUUAGUGCUUGACUUGAAGUAAGAGGGUUCUGUGAAGUGGGUGAAUGUGUGUGUGCGUGCGCAUGUGUAUUUUGUUUUAUUUCUAUUUUGCCUCCUGUAUUUUUGUUUACUGACAAGAAAGUGAGAGUUCUUGGACUGUCCAUUUUGUUUCUUUAACUAUAGUUAUGUUUGGUUUAGUUUCUUGUGUCCACUGGUGCCCUAAUUAAGUCCACCUGUAGCCCUUCCACCCAAUCACCCUUUAGCUCCUCAGUUGCAGUGAUUUAGAAUGGAUAGUUGGGUGCCCUUUGUAAUACCUUGUGUGCAGUGUAGAGGUGUUUGGUAUUAAUCUAGUUUUAAGUGUGCUGUGCUUAGUAUCUGUGUGUAAUUGGAGCUACAGGAUUUGGGAAAAGGGUCUUGGUCACUGUUGCGCACCAGUGUAGAUGUCCAGCUUUUAUGUCCAAUGUGUUCAUUGUAUAUACAGUUUUAACUGAUGUAUAUUGUAACCGUUUGCAUUAUUAAAAGAGAAUUGACUGUG